UGGCGAACGGGUGAGUAACACGUGGGCAACCUAGCCCAAAAGACGGGGGAGUAACACUUGGAACAGGUGCUAAUACCGCAUAACCAUAGUUACCGCAUGGUAACUAUGUAAAAGGUGGCUAUUGCUACCGCUUUUGGAUGGGCCCGCGGCGCAUUAGCUAGUUGGUGGGGUAAAGGCUUACCAAGGCAAUGAUGCGUAGCCGAACUGAGAGGUUGAUCGGCCACAUUGGGACUGAGACACGGCCCAAACUCCUACGGAAGGCAGCAG
rnacentral:rRNA from 1 species